GAUGAACGCUGGCGGCGUGCCUAAUACAUGCAAGUCGAGCGAACAGACGAGGAGCUUGCUCCUCUGACGUUAGCGGCGGACGGGUGAGUAACACGUGGAUAACCUACCUAUAAGACUGGGAUAACUUCGGGAAACCGGAGCUAAUACCGGAUAAUAUAUUGAACCGCAUGGUUCAAUAGUGAAAGACGGUUUUGCUGUCACUUAUAGAUGGAUCCGCGCCGCAUUAGCUAGUUGGUAAGGUAACGGCUUACCAAGGCAACGAUGCGUAGCCGACCUGAGAGGGUGAUCGGCCACACUGGAGCUGAGACACGGUCCAGACUCCUACGGGAGGCAGCAGUAGGGAAUCUUCCGCAAUGGGCGAAAGCCUGACGGAGCAACGCCGCGUGAGUGAUGAAGGUCUUCGGAUCGUAAAACUCUGUUAUUAGGGAAGAACAAAUGUGUAAGUAACUAUGCACGUCUUGACGGUACCUAGUCAGAAAGCCACGGCUAACUACGUG
rnacentral:rRNA from 1 species